ensembl:rRNA 5S_rRNA 5S ribosomal RNA
UCUAACCAGAGCCAUAUCACCCUGCAACCCAAGAAUGGUUACUCACUGAAGAUAAGCAGGGCUGAGCCUGGUCAGUACCUGGAUGGGAGGCCACAUGGGAAAACUAGGUUGCUGUUGGAA